rnacentral:lncRNA from 1 species
UUAUUUAAUAUUUUUAAAUUAAUUUAGAAUAGAUUAGCAAUCCCUCCUAAUCCCCGGCCUAGAACGAUACCCUACUUACAUCUAUACUACAAUUGUCAAAAAGAGGGUUUAAUUUGUGUGUCAAGAAAUUCUCGCACCAAAUUUUGGCGCCGUUGCCGGGGAUUAGUAACUUUGCUAAUCCUUUUAUUUUUGUUUUUGUUUAUGUUUAUAUUGGUGUUUGUGUAUUUUACUUUUGAUAUUUGAUUUAUUUUUCUUUCUUUGAUUUUAGGUACAAAUGGAGCUGAGGGAAAUUUAAAGGAAAGAUGCGUCCGGCUAAAGACGUUAAAUCAAGCGCUUCUUGGGAGGCAACCCAAGCAUUCAACGAAGGGAGACUUUGGAAUCGCUAACCCAAUCAGAUUUGCAUUUUUACACCCUUAUCUUUGCUGCUUUCAUUUUGUUUUGUUUAGUUAGUUGUGUUAUUUGGUUGAUUUCUGUGAGUUUGUAUUACUUAGUUUAAGUGUGGGGGAAGGUUAACCAAAGUCUCUUUACAUUAAUUUACAAAAAAAAAAAAAAAAAAAAUUAAAUUAAAAAAAAAAAAAAAAAAAAAAAAGAUAAAAUUUAAAAUUAGUGA